rnacentral:rRNA from 3 species
AGACCCGAAACCCGGUGAUCUAGCCAUGGGCAGGUUGAAGGUUGGGUAACACUAACUGGAGGACCGAACCGACUAAUGUUGAAAAAUUAGCGGAUGACCUGUGGCUGGGGGUGAAAGGCCAAUCAAACCGGGAGAUAGCUGGUUCUCCCCGAAAGCUAUUUAGGUAGCGCCUCGUGAAUUCAUCUCCGGGGGUAGAGCACUGUUUCGGCUAGGGGGCCAUCCCGGCUUACCAACCCGAUGCAAACUGCGAAUACCGGAGAAUGUUAUCACGGGAGACACACGGCGGGUGCUAACGUCCGUCGUGAAGAGGGAAACAACCCAGACCGCCAGCUAAGGUCCCAAAGUCAUGGUUAAGUGGGAAACGAUGUGGGAAGGCCCAGACAGCCAGGAUGUUGGCUUAGAAGCAGCCAUCAUUUAAAGAAAGCGUAAUAGCUCACUGGUCGAGUCGGCCUGCGCGGAAGAUGUAACGGGGCUAAACCAUGCACCGAAGCUGCGGCAGCGACACUGUGUGUUGUUGGGUAGGGGAGCGUUCUGUAAGCCUGUGAA